AGAGUUUGAUCCUGGCUCAGAACGAACGCUGGCGGCGUGCCUAACACAUGCAAGUCGUACGAGAAAAUCCGCUUCGGCGGGUGAGUAAAGUGGCGCACGGGUGAGUAACGCGUGGAUAAUCUGCCUUUAAGCGGGGAAUAACUUACCGAAAGGUGGGCUAAUACCCCAUAAAGCUAUGGAACUCCGGUUUUCAUAGCCAAAGAGAGCCUCUGCAUGCAAGCCCUCACUUAGAGAUGAGUCCGCGUACCAUUAGCUAGUUGGUGGGGUAAUGGCCUACCAAGGCGACGAUGGUUAGCUGGUCUGAGAGGAUGAUCAGCCACACUGGAACUGAGACACGGUCCAGACUCCUACGGGAGGCAGCAGUGAGGAAUAUUGCGCAAUGGGGGCAACCCUGACGCAGCAACGCCGCGUGAGUGAGGAAGGUUUUCGGAUCGUAAAGCUCUGUCGGGUGGGAAGAAAUGUAUGGAGGUUAACAGCCUUUGUACUUGACGGUACCGCCAAAGGAAGCACCGGCUAACUCCGUGCCAGCAGCCGCGGUAAUACGGGGGGUGCUAGCGUUGUUCGGAAUCAUUGGGCGUAAAGAGCGUGUAGGCGGCUAGGCAAGUCAGAUGUGAAAUCCCUGGGCUUAACCCAGGACGUGCAUUUGAAACUGCUUGGCUUGAGUAGGGAAGAGGGAAGUGGAAUUCCUGGUGUAGAGGUGAAAUUCGUAGAUAUCAGGAGGAACACCGGUGGCGAAGGCGACUUCCUGGUCCUAUACUGACGCUGAGACGCGAGAGCGUGGGGAGCAAACCAGGAUUAGAUACCCUGGUAGUCCACGCCGUAAACGACUCUCAAGAGGUGUUGAGGGUAUUGACCCCUUCAGUGCCGAAGCUAACGCAUUAAGGAACCGCCUGGGA
rnacentral:rRNA from 1 species